AUUGAACGCUGGCGGCAGGCCUAACACAUGCAAGUCGAGCGAGCGGCGGACGGGUGAGUAAUGUCUGGGAAACUGCCUGAUGGAGGGGGAUAACUACUGGAAACGGUAGCUAAUACCGCAUACCAUCAGAUUUGCCCAGAUGGGAUUCGCUAGUAGUUGGGGUAAGGGCUCACCUAGGCGACGAUCCCUAUCUGGUCUGAGAGGAUGACCAGCCACACUGGAACUGAGACACGGUCCAGAUGCGUAGGGGAGGCAGCGUGGGGGAAUAUUGCACAAUGGGGGAAGGCUGGAGGAGGAAAGGCGGGGUGGUUGAAGAAGGCUUUCGGGUGGUAAAGCACUUUCAGCGGGGAGGCGUUACCCGCAUAAGAAGCACCGGCUAACUCCGUGCCAGCAGCCGCGGUAAUAC
rnacentral:rRNA from 1 species